rnacentral:lncRNA from 1 species
CAAAGAACAAAGAGAACUAGCAAAUAUUGUGUUAGAAAAGAAAGAACUCAAGUGUUUGCACACUUACCACUCUUUUGCUGAUUCUUCAAUUGCACUUCAGAAACUAAGGUCAACCAACUAACCACAAGGUGCGUUUAAUGAAACAAAAAAAAAAAGAAAACCUAAAGAAAGAACGAAGCGCGCAAAAACUAGAAAGAAGACACUGACAAUUUGGAAAGUAACACACGAACUAGGUUUUGUGCUACUUGAAAACAUCACCUAGAGUAUAGACCCAAGCAAACAAUACUCCAGCAAUGUCAAGGAAGCAAAAGCAAGUAUAAAUCAAAAAAGAAACUUUGAAUUCAAAUAAAAACGAAUUUGGAAAAUUUUGAAUUUAAUUCACUUCAAAGUAAAUUAAAUAUGGAUAGAUUAAAAUCUACCCAAAAAGGCAAGUAUCAAGACCCACAAACAGAGACAGAAAAAAAAAAUAAAUUAAUAGGCAGAUUUCUUUUGUCUCCUAAUCUGGAUUUAACCCAAUUCAAAAUUCAAACUUCAAAAUUGAUUCCCAUAAACUACAGGAAUCAAUUGAGAUAGGUAAGGAAAUUUGGAUGAAAAAGGAAGCAUAUCACAGUUUCGGCCAGAUCAAGAUAAAUAUGGCAAAAGCGAUAUUUUCUUUUUUUUUUUCGUUUUUUGUCUUUUUGGAUUCUGAAUAUAUUUUUUUUUUCAAAAGAGAUUAUGUGAUAAUAUAUCAAGAAGGUGCAGUCAUGGAUACAGAAGCUUUCACCGAAAUAAACAAGAAAGACAAGGAAAACUAAAAAAAAAAAGAAAAAAACUCUAGAUCCUGAGAUAAAUAAGAAUUUACCUCACUUUGGCUCUGAUACCAACUGACGCGGAACCCUAUGGCAAAGGCCUCAAACCCACACGCACAAGUAGAUAUGAAAUCCAAAGAUUUGAUAAACCCACCUCCUAUGGCACCCCAAACUUAGAGAAGCUGAAACACCAAUGAUCGAAGGGUUUAGAUGAGAAUCCGACAAACGCCACAACGAAUAGUUGAUAAGUUAGCCAAGAUUCCUGGUGCAAUUGAUGAAAGCAAAUCCUCACUCUCACUCAAAGCAAUACACGCCAGAGGCAUGAAAGAAAUUCUGAAAAGUUUGAUUAAAAGCUCCUCUUACAAUUGUUUCUUAUCCUUAUAUAGUAAGGAGAAAAACAAAUAAAACCCUAAGACACUCUUCUUGGGCUCUUAAACACAUAAGACCCAAGCCUAAUCACAUACUAAAAUAACACAUAGGUAUUAAAAUAUAAGCCCACAACAUGGCCCAACACUCUAAAACUUAAAAGAUAAAAUAUGGCCAGAAUACAAGCCCAAACAAAACUAAAAUAAAACAAGUGUUUAAAUAAUAAAACUAGCAAGCCCAUCAUAACAAAGUUGAAUCUUCACAAAAGCCUUACUUGAUCUUCACUUUAGGCUUUCCUUUAUGUAGUUUUAGCCCAUAGGUUUGAUUAGGCUCCCUCAGCCUAUGAUUGCAAGUGUUGCACCAAAUCUGUCCCAUAUGAAAUAAAGCACGCCCCAAAUAUAUAUGGAUUAUAUGAAUACGAUUUUGAACUACUCUUGGAUCCAUUGGAAUGAUAUAAGUUUGCUAUACACCAUUGUUAGAAAUUUGUCCUAUUGGAUCCGUAUCAAGCGGGUUUAUCAAAUCUUUUGAUUCCAUAUCUACUUGUGCGUGUGGGUUUGAGGCUUGUGCCAUAGGGUUCCGCAUCACUUUUGCUGAUUCUUCAAUUGCACUUCAGAAACUAAGGUCAACCAACUAACCACAAGGUGCGUCUAAUGAAACAAAGAAGAAAACCUAAAGAAAGGAGCGCAAAAACUAGAAAGAAGACACUGACAAUUUGAAAAGUAACAUACGAACUAGGUUUUGUGCUACUUGAAAAAAUAUCACCUAGAGUAUAGAC